AUUGAACGCUGGCGGCAUGCCUUACACAUGCAAGUCGAACGGUAACAGGUCUUCGGAUGCUGACGAGUGGCGAACGGGUGAGUAAUACAUCGGAACGUGCCUAGUAGUGGGGGAUAACUACUCGAAAGAGUGGCUAAUACCGCAUGAGAUCUACGGAUGAAAGCAGGGGAUCGCAAGACCUUGUGCUACUAGAGCGGCCGAUGGCAGAUUAGGUAGUUGGUGGGAUAAAAGCUUACCAAGCCGACGAUCUGUAGCUGGUCUGAGAGGACGAUCAGGCACACUGGGACGGAGACACGGCCCAGACUGCUAGGGGAGGCAGCAGUGGGGAAUUUUGGACAAUGGGCGCAAGCCGGGUCCAGCAAUGCCGCGUGCAGGAUGAAGGCCUUCGGGUUGUAAUCUGCUUUUGGACGGAACGAAAAGCCCUGGGUUAAUACCCUGGGGUCAUGACGGUACCGUAAGAAUAAGCACCGGCUAACUACGUGCCAGCCGCCGCGGGAAGAC
rnacentral:rRNA from 1 species